rnacentral:rRNA from 1 species
AUGAAGCUCAUCGGUUGGAACUGUUGGGGUCUCGGGAACGGCCCGGCAGUUUGAAGUCUCCUCGAAUUGGGGAGAGUGGAGGAGCCCGAUGUUUUAUUUUUGGCGGAGACAAAACUGUUGGAGAAGGAGUUGGAGGGGUUUAGGUGGAUGUUGGGAAUGCCUCACAUGGCUGCAUGGAGUUCAGAGGGGAGGAGUAGAGGGGUUGCUUUGUUCCGGCGAAGGGAGGUGGAUGUGUCUUUGCGAUCUUAUGGCAGGAGGCAUGUGGACGUGGAUGUUAAGGAAGAAGAUGGCAGGAUCUGGCGCCUUACAGCUGUCUAUGGGGAAUCUGUAAUGGAUUGGAAGGUGGAAACAUGGAAAACACUGAGAAUCCUUGGGCAACAACAUCAAAGUGACUAG